ensembl:lncRNA
CAGCAUAACAUGACUAGCAGCAGCAAAAUCUUCCUCCCCUCUCUUCCACCGCUGAGACUCCAAUAGUGCAGAGUGAAUAAUUUAGCAGCCAUCUCUCAUUCAGCAAACACUGCCGGUGAGCUGUGUGAAGAUGAUUUUUAUUAACUGGACGGCUGGAUGCAAUUUUCCAGCAAACCCUGUGUGCAAACAAAUUGUAGCUGACUGCUGGGUAAGUGCCAGUGCUUAUGACUGUCUCCUGGUACGGAGAGAUUAGAUGCCCACAUCCUGUUACACCAUCUCCUCUGCUUGUGAAUUAUUUCCCAAGCCCACGAGUAACUUUGCUGGUGAACAAUCAUGGUUUCAGAUUGGAGGGAGUGUUUUCAGCAAGACGCGUGUUUGUGAUGUUGUUUUGUUCCCUGGGAACAUGAACAAAAUCACGCCGCCCAGCCUGCUCUGUAAAAGCCAUUGCGGAUGCUGCUGAUGGGGCUCAUGGGAUCUGAUCAAGAAAAACAUUUCGGAGCCCUUUUGUUUUUGAUCCAUUUGUCCAUUUCCGCCUCAUUCCAGCAACAGGGUGACUGUGUCACUAGGCGAGAGUGGCAUCGGGUCUCUUCGGCCCCUCUGUUGUCAUCUGCCAUGAGAAGCUGUGGUCAUACAGGGGCCAUGCUGGAGCUGCAAUAGAAGUAAAGCUGGGCAGAUGCCACCAGCCAGCAAGAGGCUGAACUGGUUGCAAGAUUUAGGGAUUCUACUUUGCCUCUCGCAUGCUGCUUGUUGCUUGCAACGCACUAGAAGUCCAUAUAGAUGACUGCCAGUAGGGAUGAGAGAUCCUCCUGACCACUGUCCCCACUACAGACAAAUGUGACAGUGGGUUUGAGCUCCUCCUGAGCCUUGCAAUUGUGCAGUGCCAGACUAGAUGCUUGCUGGGAGAUCUGAGGGAUGUGAAUCCUGCAGUGGGCAGGGUGGAGAGCAGGUCAGCCGUCCUCAAAACCCCUCGCACACCCUGGUGGGUCCCCAAGUGUCACUCAGCCUGAAGGAAGUUGUCCAUCAAAGCCGGGGAGGCUGUGGGAAUACCUGCGGGGCAGGAGGUGGCAAAAGGCCAGUCUCUUUCAUCUUUGCACCAAGCUCAGAGACUCUCCACUUCACAGAGAAGCUCCUGAACUUGAGAGCUGCCUGUCCCCCAGGGAGGUGAUUUCUUGAACAUGAAGGAGAUGAAGUCCAGCCUGGCAGAGG